GUGCCAGCAGCCGCGGUAAUACGUAGGUGGCAAGCGUUGUCCGGAUUUAUUGGGUUUAAAGGGUGCGUAGGCGGUCUAUUAAGUCAGUUGUGAAAUACGGCAGCUCAACUGUCGAGGUGCAAUUGAUACUGAUGGACUUGAGUACUGAUGAGGUAAGCGGAAUGGACGGUGUAGCGGUGAAAUGCUUAGAUAUCGUCCAGAACACCGAUAGCGAAGGCAGCUUACUAAGGAGUAACUGACGCUGAGGCACGAAAGUGUGGGGAUCAAACAGGAUUAGAUACCCUGGUAGUCC
rnacentral:rRNA from 1 species